UAUGAAGCUUCUGAAGGAUCAUGCCAAUUCAUCCAACAUGGCGUUCGUUGAAUUCGUUAGCGUGGAGAGUGCCGGCAAAGCUCUUUCUUGCAGCGGAAUGGUACUCGGAGAUUCUCCCAUCAGGGUCAGUCCUUCGAAGACUCCGAUGUGGCGGUAGCGGACCCGUGGACCUGCUCGCGCUUGUUCAUUUAUUCUACCAUUAUUAUUAGUACCCCGUCUCGUGUAAUUUGUACCUGACCUAUAGUUUCUUCCUGAGCUUUCACGUUUGGACCUGACUUGUUCGUCUGCUGUUGUUUUGUUUCUUCUCUCAUUGUGUCGUAAUUAA